GCUUCCGUAGCUCAGUUGGAAGAGCGGCCGGCUCUUAACCGGCUUGUCGGUGGUUCGAGUCCAUCCGGAAGCA
rnacentral:tRNA from 1 species